AUGAUGGCACACUCUUUGGUGUCCGCAGAUACAAAUGCAGGGUCCUGCAACAGGAGGCAGGCUGUUUACCUGAACAGGUCCAGUAUGAUCUCCAGCCUACUGGAACAAUCCAUGCCUGUUGUCAGAGGCACCUUUGGAGAAGAGUGUGAAACCGGCUUGAGUUAUCUGCUCUACUGUGUUGCUUUCCUUGUGAUGGACAAGCAGUGGCUAGAGAAGAAUGCUUCUUACAUGAACUUCAAGAGAUCUUUCCUUGUUAUGGCGGCUCUCAAGGUGAUGUUCAUAUCUAUCGGCGGAUCAUCUCUGCUUGGAGAUCCCCCUGUAGUUAAGACACACGGCCCUGUGAUUGAAUUUGCUGCAAGAGAGGUUGAUGUUACUAUCACAGGUGUGGUUAUGGGAGCCCUACUUUUGGCAGAAGUACUAGAGGCUAUAUUUUACCUGAUACUAUCAGACUGGGCCAUCGUUUUGCUUGCUUGCAGUUAUCGCCGGGAGGAACCUGCAAAUUUGUUCCACUCAUUAUUUGGUUUCUUAGAAGGUUUAACCUGGCCAGAUAUUGGAAAAGUGGAAGCUUUCUUGGCAGACAUUAAUGUGUUUGGAUAUUGGCAAAAUAAGAUUGGACAGACCUCUGUAAUUGAAGGCUGCUUGCAUGCCAAUCUUGGUUCGCUGCUCUGUUACCCUGUCGACUACAUCUUGAAUCUUCAGUUCCCAAGAAAACUCAAGAGUAAAACGUUCAAAGUAGUUCCUGGUCUGGUCAAGAGCGAGAUAGUUUCUUGUUUGCAGAUAUCUUGCAUCUGUGGUCCUCUCAACUAA
rnacentral:rRNA from 1 species